AGUCUGCUUGUUCGGUUGAAAAACCGUGUGGAUCAAACAUGGCCGCCAUCAUUGGAGGUUGUGUUGCUGCAGCGGUUGCUGCUGGCUUAGGGUGCAUCAUCCUCGGCGUCGCAUGUAAGCGUUCGAACAACAAAGUACAAGACACGAAGGAAAUACCACCAAUAUCAACAGAAUGUCCCGCUGAAGAUCAUACCAAACACAGUGGUUAGUCAUUUCAUCAAUCUACAAUGGAGGAUUUCUUCUUUGACAACUCAGCACGUGCCUUCAGAUGGAGCGAUGUGAAUAUAAAACAUUUUAAGAACCUGACAUGUAAAUAACAAUUUGUGAAAGAAAGCUGUGUGCUUCAUACAAUGCCAUUACAUAUUUUAACAAUAUGAACUUAAUGAGAUCUACCCUUAGUGGGCAUAUUUGUCUUUAUUCAUACUAUUUAUAUGCCGAUUAAAAUAAUGACGUAAUAAAAGUAAUUGGAUCAUUGGAUUAUGUGGAUAUAUUUAUUCAUGUUGUGUGUGUAGUGGUUAAUGCGUACAUGCGUGAAUUAAUCUUGCUUUGGCUUUAGUCAAAGGUAGACAAUUUAUGUAGUUUUUUUUUCUUUCUUUUUUGUGCUUUGUGUUGAAAGGAAUCCAUAUUUGUACGGAUUGAAAUAAAUCUAGUAAAUAAUGCACUUGUAAUUAUGCAGCUCAAGGUUCACUAUCUUAAA